UACGAAGGUCCCAAGCGUUAUCCGGAUUUAUUGGGUUUAAAGGGUGCGUAGGCGGGCUAUUAAGUCAGUGGUGAAAGCCUCAAGCUUAACUUGAGAAUUGCCAUUGAUACUGAUGACCUUGAGUACAUUUGAAGUGGGCGGAAUGUGUCAUGUAGCGGUGAAAUGCUUAGAUAUGACACAGAACACCGAUUGCGUAGGCAGCUCACUAAGCUGUAACUGACGCUGAGGCACGAAAGCGUGGGGAGCAAACGGG
rnacentral:rRNA from 1 species